rnacentral:rRNA from 1 species
UACGGAGGAUGCGAGCGUUAUCCGGAUUUAUUGGGUUUAAAGGGUGCGCAGGCGGCGUGUCAAGCAAGCGGUAAAAUAGCGGGGCUCAACCCCGUCGAGCCGUUUGAACUGGCGCGCUUGAGUUCAGGCGAGGUAGGCGGAAUUCGUGGUGUAGCGGUGAAAUGCAUAGAUAUCGCGCAGAACUCCGAUUGCGAAGGCAGCAUGCCGGCUCCACACUGACGCUGAGGCACGAAAGCGUGGGUAUCGAACAGG